UACGUAGGUGGCAAGCGUUGUCCGGAUUUAUUGGGCGUAAAAGGCUUGUAGGUGGCCACGCCAAGUCGGAUGUGAAAUCUCCCGGCUCAACUGGGAGGGGUCAUUCGAUACUGGCGGGCUCGAGGCCGGUAGGGGGAAGUGGAAUUCCCGGUGUAGUGGUGGAAUGCGUAGAUAUCGGGAGGAACACCAGUGGCGAAGGCGGCUUACUGGUCCGGUUCUGACGCUGAGGCGCGAAAGCCAGGGGAGCGAACAGG
rnacentral:rRNA from 1 species